AUACGGAGGGUCCGAGCGUUAUCCGGAAUCAUUGGGUUUAAAGGGUGUGUAGGCGGGAGCCUAAGUCAGUGGUGAAAUCUUGCAGCUCAACUGUAAAAUUGCCAUUGAUACUGGAUUUCUUGAAUUAGUGUGAAGUGGUUAGAAUGUGUAGUGUAGCGGUGAAAUGCAUAGAUAUUACACAGAAUACCAAUUGCGAAGGCAGAUCACUAACACUAUAUUGACGCUAAGGGACGAAAGCGUGGGGAGCGAACAGGAUUAGAAACCCCAGUAGUCC
rnacentral:rRNA from 1 species